UCUUUUUUUUUUUUUUUUGUCUUUUUGGUAUAGCAAUUUGUUCUAGGUUUUCAAGUAUAGAAUUACUGAGAUAAAGAAGCGAAAGGGGAAAUAAAUGGAAGAAGAAAAUAGUUCCUGGAUAAGGAGGACAAAUUUUUCACAUAGAGUUUGUCUUCGUUUAGAUUCUUCAAGAAGAAUGGCCUCUUUUCCUUUAGCCAUUCAGCCGGAGAGAAAUUCCGGCUUGAAAUCAAGGCCUGGAAUGCCAUCUUCUUAUCAGAAGUCUGUUUCCUUCUCCAAUCAGAAUUCAUCACUUACUAAUAAUUUUCAGAAUCAGAUUGAGAGAAAUCCCCUCACCAACAAGCAGAGGUCUUUAUCUCCUCUCCCUGAAACAGUCCUUUCUGAUACUUUUAAGGAAGCAAGGUCUGAUAGGAAGAGAUUCUCAACUCCACAUCCUCGCUGGAAAGAUCAGGAGAAGAAAAUCAUGGGAAAGUUUCUUCACAAGGAAUUUCCAGAAACCGAGCCAUCCAGUCCUACAUCAAAUACAGGCCCACUCCAGCACUUGGCUUCAAUGGAGGGCCAUGAAAAAUCAAAGGUCAAGAAGGACUCUGGUUGGACAAAGUAUUUUGACCAUGGUGGAGGAAGGGUUAAUGCUGUGGAAGCUGCUGAUGAAUUUAGUGUGGAUAUGUCUAAACUUUUUCUCGGGCUUAGAUUUGCUCAUGGGGCACAUAGCAAGCUUUACCAUGGUGUAUACAAAGAUGAACCUGUUGCAGUUAAAAUUAUCAGGGCACCAGAUGAUGACGAAAAUGGGACCUUAGCUGCUAGAUUGAAGAAUCAAUAUAGCAGAGAAGUCACCCUUUUAUCUCGGCUUCACCAUCGGAAUGUUAUAAAGUUUGUAGCAGCAUGCAAAAAGCCACCAGUUUAUUGUGUUAUAACAGAAUAUUUAUCUCAAGGUUCCUUGAGGGCAUACCUGCACAAGCUUGAGCAUAAGUCUCUCACCUUACAGAGGCUAAUUGCAGUUGCUCUGGAUAUUGCUCGUGGAAUGGAAUAUAUCCACUCUCAAGGUGUCAUUCAUCGAGAUCUUAAACCUGAGAAUGUUCUUAUUGAUCAAGAGUUUCAUCUAAAGAUAGCCGAUUUUGGCAUAGCUUGUGAGGAAGCAUAUUGUGAUUCAUUGGCUGACGACCCAGGAACUUACAGAUGGAUGGCACCUGAGAUGAUAAAAAAGAAAUCCUAUGGCAGAAGGGUUGAUGUGUAUAGUUUUGGGCUCAUUUUAUGGGAAAUGGUGGCUGGAACAAUUCCCUAUGAGGAUAUGAAUCCCAUACAAGCUGCUUUUGCAGUAGUGAAUAAGAAUUUGAGACCUGUUAUUCCUCGGGACUGCCCUCCUGCCAUGCGAGCUUUAAUCGAGCAAUGCUGGUGUUUGCAUCCUGAGAAAAGGCCCGAGUUUUGGCAAAUUGUGAAAGUAUUAGAGCAAUUUAAGUCUUCACUUGCCUGUGAUGGGACCCUGAAUUUGGCACAAAACCCAACUUGUCAAGAUCAUAAGAAAGGUCUUCUUCAUUGGAUUCAAAAGCUUGGUCCCGUUCAUCCUAGUAGUUCCCCCAUACCUAAACCCAAAUUCACAUGAAUCUCUUUUAUGACCCAGCUUUUUAGUGCACUGGGUCACUUGUAAUUAAAAAGGUUUGUUUUCCGAGCCUCUUUAUUUGUACUCCUCUUCUAUGUCACAUUCAUGUGAGAGUGAAUUAAUAGAUUUGUAGGAUCCAGUGCGGUGGAAGUAUCUUUUCUUCGCAAAUAUGCCUACACACAACAUAUUAUCACAUUUUAGGGUGUUUUGAACAUUGUAAGCAUUGGGAGAUGAAAGAUAGUGUGUUUUAAAAGGCUAUGAAGUUGAAGAGCUGUCUCCUUUGGAUGGAUUUUUUUUCCCAAGAUGAACUGUUUUAACUUUGCCCUUUUCCAUUAGUCAAGUUUCUACUAUUUUGGUGUUAUAUUCGUUAUUGAAUAUGGAAACUUAUUAAAAUUCUUAAUUUGGAUUGGCUGUAUACAUUCUAAUGCUGAUUAGAGAGAGAGAGUGCCCGCACACCACCCCCCGCACCCAAAACAAAACAAGAGGGGGGUGGGGGCUGGCUGCAUGGAAAUACACAUUCUAACUAUAUGAGUUUGUUUAUCAUCAAUGUUAAGUGAAUGAUGAUUCCAAUUAUCUCUUCAUUUUAGAGAAACCGUAUGUGUUGUUUUAGGUAUUAAAUGCAGGUGAAGUUUCAACCAUCUGCUUUUAGUUUGUCCUAGGUGUUGCUUGUGUUUUAUCAGAAACCAGUAAAUGUGUUUCAGUUGUGCUGUGUUUGAAUGCGUU
rnacentral:misc_RNA from 1 species